GACGAACGCUGGCGGCGUGCUUAACACAUGCAAGUCGAACGGAAAGGCCCUGCUUUUGUGGGGUGCUCGAGUGGCGAACGGGUGAGUAACACGUGAGUAACCUGCCCUUGACUUUGGGACAACUUCAGGAAACUGGGGCUAAUACAGGAUAGGAGCUCCUGCUGCAUGGAGGGGGUUGGGAAGUUUCGGCGGUUGGGGAUGGACUCGCGGCUUAUCAGCUUGUUGGUGCGGUAGUGGCUUACCAAGGCUUUGACGGGUAGCCGGCCUGAUGGGGUGACCGGCCCCAUUGGGACUGCGAUGCGGCCCAGACUCCUACGGGAGGCAGCAGUGGAGAAUAUUGCACAGUGGGCGGGAGCCUGAUGCAGCAACGCCGCGUCCGGGAUGACGGCCUUCGGUUUGUAAACCGCUUUCGCCUGUGACGAAGCGUGAGUGACGGUACUGGGUAAAGAAGCACCGGCUAACUACGUG
rnacentral:rRNA from 1 species